AGAGUUUGAUCCUGGCUCAGAUUGAACGCUGGCGGCAGGCCUAACACAUGCAAGUCGAGCGGUAGCACAGAGAGCUUGCUCUCGGGUGACGAGCGGCGGACGGGUGAGUAAUGUCUGGGAAACUGCCUGAUGGAGGGGGAUAACUACUGGAAACGGUAGCUAAUACCGCAUAACGUCGCAAGACCAAAGUGGGGGACCUUCGGGCCUCAUGCCAUCAGAUGUGCCCAGAUGGGAUUAGCUAGUAGGUGGGGUAAUGGCUCACCUAGGCGACGAUCCCUAGCUGGUCUGAGAGGAUGACCAGCCACACUGGAACUGAGACACGGUCCAGACUCCUACGGGAGGCAGCAGUGGGGAAUAUUGCACAAUGGGCGCAAGCCUGAUGCAGCCAUGCCGCGUGUGUGAAGAAGGCCUUCGGGUUGUAAAGCACUUUCAGCGGGGAGGAAGGCGUUAAGGUUAAUAACCUUGGCGAUUGACGUUACCCGCAGAAGAAGCACCGGCUAACUCCGUGCCAGCAGCCGCGGUAAUACGGAGGGUGCAAGCGUUAAUCGGAAUUACUGGGCGUAAAGCGCACGCAGGCGGUCUGUCAAGUCGGAUGUGAAAUCCCCGGGCUCAACCUGGGAACUGCAUUCGAAACUGGCAGGCUAGAGUCUUGUAGAGGGGGGUAGAAUUCCAGGUGUAGCGGUGAAAUGCGUAGAGAUCUGGAGGAAUACCGGUGGCGAAGGCGGCCCCCUGGACAAAGACUGACGCUCAGGUGCGAAAGCGUGGGGAGCAAACAGGAUUAGAUACCCUGGUAGUCCACGCCGUAAACGAUGUCGAUUUGGAGGUUGUGCCCUUGAGGCGUGGCUUCCGGAGCUAACGCGUUAAAUCGACCGCCUGGGGAGUACGGCCGCAAGGUUAAAACUCAAAUGAAUUGACGGGGGGCCCGCACAAGCGGUGGAGCAUGUGGUUUAAUUCGAUGCAACGCGAAGAACCUUACCUGGUCUUGACAUCCACAGAACUUUCCAGAGAUGGAUUGGUGCCUUCGGGAACUGUGAGACAGGUGCUGCAUGGCUGUCGUCAGCUCGUGUUGUGAAAUGUUGGGUUAAGUCCCGCAACGAGCGCAACCCUUAUCCUUUGUUGCCAGCGGUUAGGCCGGGAACUCAAAGGAGACUGCCAGUGAUAAACUGGAGGAAGGUGGGGAUGACGUCAAGUCAUCAUGGCCCUUACGACCAGGGCUACACACGUGCUACAAUGGCAUAUACAAAGAGAAGCGACCUCGCGAGAGCAAGCGGACCUCAUAAAGUAUGUCGUAGUCCGGAUUGGAGUCUGCAACUCGACUCCAUGAAGUCGGAAUCGCUAGUAAUCGUAGAUCAGAAUGCUACGGUGAAUACGUUCCCGGGCCUUGUACACACCGCCCGUC
rnacentral:rRNA from 1 species